GGACUUUCAUUCGUAUUUGUGUUCUUAUUUGAUAUUUCCAUUUAAUCAAAAUAGGACAUCAUGUUCUUUAUGCAAAAAGCUUGUGUCUCCCGUGAAGCUUUAGCUAUUUUCCAAAACUAAAAGCUAGCUACCCUUGUUAGGACCACUGUGUUGCUGGGUUAGGUUCCAACCUUAUUGCGCACACUUUUUCCAUUUGUAA
rnacentral:lncRNA from 1 species